AGAGUUUGAUCAUGGCUCAGGACGAACGCUGGCGGCGCGCUUAACACAUGCAAGUCGAACGGGAUCACCCUUUCGGGGGUGGUUCAGUGGCGAACGGGUGCGUAACACGUGAGCAACCUGCCCCUGUAUGGGGGAUAACCCUGGGAAACCGGGGCUAAUACCGCAUGCGCUCAUUGGGUCUCCUGGCCUGGUGAGGAAAGUCCCUGAGAGGGGAUGUGCAGGGAGGGGCUCGCGGCGUAUCAGCUAGUUGGCGGGGUAACGGCCCACCAAGGCAACGACGCGUAGCCGGCCUGAGAGGGUGACCGGCCACACUGGGACUGAGACACGGCCCAGACUCCUACGGGAGGCAGCAGUGGGGAAUAUUGCGCAAUGGGCGGAAGCCUGACGCAGCGACGCCGCGUGGGGGAUGACGGCCUUCGGGUUGCAAACCUCUUUCAGCAGGGACGAAGCCGUGAGGUGACGGUACCUGCAGAAGAAGCACCGGCCAACUACGUGCCAGCAGCCGCGGUAAUACGUAGGGUGCAAGCGUUGUCCGGAAUUAUUGGGCGUAAAGGGCUCGUAGGCGGUUCGUCGCGUCGGCUGUGAAAACCUGAGGCUCAACCUCAGGCCUGCAGUCGAUACGGGCGGACUUGAGUUCGGCAGGGGAGACUGGAAUUCCUGGUGUAGCGGUGAAAUGCGCAGAUAUCAGGAGGAACACCGGUGGCGAAGGCGGGUCUCUGGGCCGAUACUGACGCUGAGGAGCGAAAGCGUGGGGAGCGAACAGGAUUAGAUACCCCGGUAGUCC
rnacentral:rRNA from 1 species